rnacentral:rRNA from 1 species
UAAACAUUGACAGUUAAUUACACCCACUGUCCGCCCGGGUACUACGAGCGCUAGCUUAAAACCCAAAGGACUUGGCGGUGCUUUAGACCCACCUAGAGGAGCCUGUUCUAGAACCGAUAAUCCCCGUUAAACCUCACCCUUCCUUGUUCUUUCCCGCCUAUAUACCACCGUCGUCAGCUUACCCUGUGAAGGCCCUAUAGUAAGCACAAUCGGCAAUGCCCAAUACGUCAGGUCGAGGUGUAGCGAAUGGAAGGGGAAGAAAUGGGCUACAUUUACUAAUAUAGUAAAUACGGAUGAUCACCCUGCAACGAGUAUCUGAAGGAGGAUUUAGCAGUAAGCAAAAAAUAGAGCGUUUUGCUG